CUCUGUGUGUCCUGCAAUUGGCUGGCAACCAGUUCAGGGUGUCUCCCGCCGACUGCCUGAAGACAGUGGGAAUGGGCUCCGGCACCCCUGCGACCCCUUGUGAGGAUAAAGCGGAUAGGA